rnacentral:rRNA from 1 species
UACGGGGGGGGCAAGCGUUGUUCGGAAUUACUGGGCGUAAAGGGCGCGUAGGCGGUCUGCUAAGUUGGAUGUGAAAACUCUGGGCUUAACCCAAAGCCUGCAUUCAAUACUGACAGGCUAGAGUUCUGGAGGGGAUAGCGGAAUUCCUGGUGUAGCGGUGAAAUGCGUAGAUAUCAGGAGGAACACCGGUGGCGAAGGCGGCUAUCUGGACAGAGUCUGACGCUGAGGCGCGAAAGCUAGGGGAGCAAACAGG